rnacentral:sRNA from 1 species
CGAUAUAAGGAUUCAAGUAGAUACAAAGCUGUGCUUGCACAAAGCUUUGUAUCUAUUUGAAGACUGAACGGACAUGAGGAAGUAGCGCGAAAGCGCGGAUUCCGAUGCAUGAAGUACUUAGCGAAGAAUGAGCUUAGUACUUCACAUACAGUGUAAUGGACGUAGGAUUGCGGGAACGAAGUGUAGCAAUCCGUAUAUCG